AAGCUGACCUGCUGUGACAGAGACAAACAAAAUGGCGGCACCGAAUGGGAGCCUCUGGGUCAGGGCCCAACUGGGUCUCUCGCCAUUGCUGCUGCUGCUGACCAUGGCCCUGACUGGAGGCUCAGGGACCACUUUGGCUGAAGCGUUUGACUCGGUUUUGGGUGAUACGUCAUCUUGUCACCGGGCCUGCCAGUUGACCUACCCCUCGCACACCUACUCCAAGCAAGAGGAGUUGUACACAUGUCAGAGAGGUUGCAGGCUGUUUUCAAUUUGUCAAUUUGUGGAUGAUGGAACUGAUUUAAAUCAGACCAAAUUGGAAGGUGAAUCUGCAUGUACAGAAGCAUAUUCCCAAUCUGAUGAGCAAUAUGUUUGCCACCCUGGGUGCCAGAAUCAGCUGCCAUUUGCUGAAUUGAGACAAGAACAACUCAUGUCCCUGAUGCCAAAAAUGCAUCUAGUCUUCCCUCUUAACUCUGGUAAGGUCAUUCUGGAGUGAUAUGAUGGACUGUUCACAGAGCUUCUUAACCUCUUCGUGGACUUUUUAUCUUCAAGCUGCUGAUGGAAAAAUAGUUAUAUUCCAGUCUAAGCCAGAAAUCCAGUAUGCACCACAGUUGGAGCAGGAACCUACAAAUUUGAAAGAACCUUCGCUAAGCAAAAUGUCCUAUCAGCAGAUGAGAAGUUCACAAGCACACAGGCACUAU